AUCCACCUACGGGAGGCAGCAGUGGGGGAUAUUGCACAAUGGGGGGAGCCCUGAUGCAGCGACGCCGCGUGGGCGAUGGAGUACUUCGGUAUGUAAAGCCCUAUCAGCAGGGAAGAAAAUGACGGUACCUGACUAAGAAGCCCCGGCUAAAUACGUGCCAGCAGCCGCGGUAAUACGUAUGGGGCAAGCGUUAUCCGGAUUUACUGGGUGUAAAGGGAGCGUAGGCGGCCUGGCAAGCCUGAUGUGAAAUACCGGGGCCCAACCCCGGGGCUGCAUUGGGAACUGCCAGGCUGGCGUGCCGGAGG
rnacentral:rRNA from 1 species